UAAUUGUCCUACUGGAAAGAAAAAAGAAAUCUUCAAUGAAUAAUCUAAUUUCUUGUAUUUCAUACCAACAUCUAAUUGGAUAAUGUAUAAGGCUCUCAUGAUUGCGAGAUUUGGGGAGAUUCAUAUGUACAUAGCUUUAUAUCGGUAUCAGAGAAAUUGUUUUCCUGUUUCAAAACUAUGAUAUGCAGAAUUGAUCAACCAUACUAUUACAUUAGUACCUACCUUUUAUGCAAAAUAUUAUUUUAUAUUUAUUUGCAAAAAUAUAAUCAGAAAUAAUAAGAUCACAUUCAUCCAUCAAACUAGUCAAAUGCACUCACGUUUAUGAAGCGAAUGUGGCCUUCACUAACGCCAGCCA
rnacentral:lncRNA from 1 species